rnacentral:hammerhead_ribozyme from 1 species
AUCCAAUUGACGAGUCCCAAAUAGGACGAAAUGCAUGUUCUGGAU